rnacentral:tRNA from 1 species
GAUUGGAUAGCUCAGUAGUCUAGAGCAGUUGCUCAGAAAACGAAAAACUCGAGUUCGAUUCCCGAUCCAGCCA